UCCGAGUUGACCCCGGCAGUCUCCCGCAAGUCCCCAGCACGCCCGAAGGCGCCUGCUGGCAAUACAGGACGAGGGUUGCGCUCGUUGCGGGACUUAACCCAACAUCUCACGACACGAGCUGACGACAACCAUGCACCACCUGUGCACGACCCCAAAGGACACCGUAUCUCUACGGCUGCACCGUGCAUGUCAAGCCCUGGUAAGGUUCUUCGCGUUGCAUCGAAUUAAGCCGCAUGCUCCGCCGCUUGUGCGGGCCCCCGUCAAUUCCUUUGAGUUUUAGCCUUGCGGCCGUACUCCCCAGGCGGGGCGCUUAAUGCGUUAGCUCCGGCACGGAGACCGUGGAAACAGUCCCCACACCUAGCGCCCAACGUUUACGGCGUGGACUAC
rnacentral:misc_RNA from 1 species